UACGGAGGGUGCAAGCAUUAAUCGGAUUUAUUGGGCGUAAAGGGCGCGUAGGCGGGGAGGAAAGUCAGAUGUGAAAUCCCGGGGCUCAACCUCGGAACAGCAUAUGAAACUGUCUCUCUAGAGGAUAGGCGGAGAAAACGGAAUUCCACAAGUAGCGGUGAAAUGCGUAGAUAUGUGGAAGAGCACCGGUGGCGAAGGCGGUUUUCUAGCUUAGACCUGACGCUGAGGCGCGAAAGCAAGGGGAUCAAACAGG
rnacentral:rRNA from 1 species